rnacentral:RNase_P_RNA from 1 species
AAGCGUGAACAGGCGGCCGCCGGCGGGGCUUUCGGGCUCCGUCCGGAGGAAAGUCCGAACACGGCAGGACACGGUGGUGGAUAACGUCCACCCGCCCGUCGGUCGCGGGUGAGGGACAGCGCCACAGAGAACAGACCGCCGAUGGCCGCAGCGAUGCGGCACAGGCAAGGGUGAAACGGUGCGGUAAGAGCGCACCGCCCGGCUGGCGACAGUCGGGGCAGGGCAAGCCCCACCGCGUGCAAGGUCAUGCAGUCCUCGUCUCUUCUUCGGAAGAGAACGGCCGGUCCGGUCGGAAGGGGACGGGUGGACCGCUGAUGACCGUGAUGGCGACAUCGCGGCAAGAGAAAUGGUCGCCUCCCGGUUCGCCGGGAACAGAAUUCGGCUUAUCGUUCACGCUCGACC